rnacentral:rRNA from 1 species
GUCCACGCGGUAAACUAUGGACACUGGGUAUAGGGAGUAUCGACCCUCUCUGUGCCGAAGCUAACGCGUUAAGUGUCCCGUCUGGGAAGUACGGCCGCAAGGCUAAAAACUCAAAAGGAAUUGACGGGGGCCCGCACAAGCAGCGGAGCGUGUGGUUUAAUUCGAUGCAAAGCGAAGAACCUUACCAAGGUUUGACAUGACGGAAGUAGCAACCGGAAACGGAAGCGACCUGUUAAGUCAGGAGCCGCACAGGUACUGCAUGGCUGUCGU